CAUACACAAUGUAAGUUCUAAAUAUUAUUAAAAGUGCAUCUUUUAUUUUUUCAACAAUCACAGAGAUACAACAUAAAUUAUGAUGAUAUAAAACAACAACACCGAUAUCCAAGUCGAAAAACACAUUGUCCACCUUUUGAUUCCUAUUUUGAUGCACUCUGUAGAACAAUUUGGAAAACAUCUACCUAUGCAACAAACUCCUCGUACUUCGUCACUCCCAAAAGACACAUUACACUUUGUCUAAUGUAACACUUUCUGAAUCAAACAAAGAAUACAAUAUUCAUUUUAUAUUAGGAAGUUAUUUAUCUUAAAAAUAUAUAUUGUAAAAGAGAGAUAAACUAUUCCUCUUACCAGAAAUCAAAAUUAUAUUCAAGCAUAAAAACAACCAAAAGAAAAUACGAUUGAUAACUUUGAGAAGUCAUUGUUUGGAUUUCACCUUAUGUGUUGUUUACUUGUUCUUGCAAAACUAACAUCACUUCCAAUAUAAAUAGACUGAAAUUUGUUUAAAUGGUAAAAAUACUAAUAUUUUAUUCUAUAAAUUUCUUAUAAAAAUAUUUUUGUUUUUGUUUUUAUAUUCCUAUACUUUCCAUUCAUUUUGUUCUUUUAUCUCUUUAUUUUAUUUUAUUUAACACUUUAUCUUUUAUUCGAGUUUUAUUUUCAAAGUUAAAAAGUAAAAGUAUUAAAUUGAAUAAAAACAAACAAAUGACCAAAAAUGAAAUUUAUUUAAAUGGUCAUAAAAUAUAAUAUUGUAUUUUAUAAAUUUCCUUAUAAAAACAUUUUUGUUUUUAUUUUAUAAUUAUUAUAAAAUUUUAUAUAUAUUAAAAUGAAGAAAAAAUGUUUUUGUUUUUUAUAUAUAUUCUAUAAUGUCAAUUUGUUCGUUUAUCUCUUAUUUAUUGUUUCUAACACUUUAGCUUUAUUCUAGUUUUUUUUUCAAAGUUAAAAUUAAAAGUAUUAAAUUGAAUAAAAAUAAACAAAUGACCAAAAAUGAAAAUUAGAUAAAUGACAAAGUAUGACAAAUAUUUUAACCUAAUAAAAAAUAUAAAUGAAAUUUAUAUAUGAUUUGUAAUAAUCCGUGUAAUAUAUAUCUAGAAUAAUAUCAUACAAGUGUUAAUUUUUUGAACAUAACAUAAUAUAUUUACCUUACCUCCAACCUAUUUAAUCAAUUCUCAUUAAAGAUGGAAAUACGCCAUGUCAGCUUACAAUGAGUUAUAUUCUGGUUUAUUUAAAAUACUUUUUAUCAGAUUUAUUUAAUAAAAAUAUUAGAUCUUUUUUAAAAGUAUAUUAAUUAAAUAAUUAAAUUUAUGUUAUUAACAAAAAAUCUAUAAAACUAUUUUAUCCUCGUGGAUGUAUGAUUCAAUAAAUUUUUUUGUAUAGAAUCGAACCAACCUAGCCAACCCAAAUUUCAUUGAUUUGAUUUGUUUGAUUUUAUUUUUAAAUAUCAACAAAACCAAACCGAAUAAUACAUUUUUUCUUGCGGAUUAAAUGACUUUUAGUGCCAAAACUACUCAAACCUACCAACACCUUACUUACGCUACAAAAAAUCCAUCAUAUAUAAAAAUGACCUAAACAUAGAUUUAAUACUAUUUUAAAAUGAAUGAUUUUAUUGGUAAAAAAAUAUGUACUUUCUUGUCUUAUCUAAAAAAAUUAUUUAAAAGUCUAUUUACAUUAUAUUUAUUUAUAUUAUAUAUAUAUAUAUAUAUAUAAUAUAUAUAUAUAUAUAUAUAUAUAUAUAUUAUAUAUAUAUAUAUAUAUAUAGAUAAAUUAUAUAUAAUAUAUAAAUAUAUAUAUAUAUAACAAAUAGACUAAAUAAUAUAUAAUAUAUUUUUUUAUUUAUGUAAAAAAAAGAAAAAUAUAUUAUUUAAAUUUUUUAAUGUAGAAUAGAUUAUUAAUAAAUUUUUAUAUAAGACAAAAAAAUACAUAAUAAAUUAUAGGUCAGAUUUAAACUUUAAAAAUGUAUUCAACCCCAUAUUUAGAUUUGACCUAAUCUAUUCUCACCGCGGUAGAACAUAUAUAUAUUUUAAACUGUUUUUAUUGAUAAUGAAGUUUAGUGCUUCUCCAAUAACAUACAUAGUCAUUCCUUUAAAGUAGAGUAUGCUUGCUUCAAACGAUUCUAGUCUUCAGAGCUUUGCUGAACUUUGUAUUUCACGUAAGCUUAGGUUCAACAUCUGAGAGACUUGAGUAGAAUCAUCAGAGUCUAAAAGAUUGGUUUUGAUACUUCAGAUUCAUAACAAUUUGGCUUCCCUUUAAUGAAUCUUCUAAGUGAUUGACUUGAUUUAAAUCAAGGGUAAUGUUUUUUGAUCCUGCACACUAGAAUAGCCACUAGUAAACUCUAUUGUUUUUUUAAAUACCUUGUUAUCAUAAAAAAAAUUAUGAGCUUCAACAAAUCUUGUUCUAAAAUAGAUUAAAACCUAAGUACUAGGAAAAGUACAUCUAACCCCCAACGAAAGAGAAAAUUAACUAUGCUUACUCAUUGUAACUUUAUAAUCAAGCCCUAGAAGUAGGGUCGAUCCUAGGCAAGUGAAACAAGCGCUACAACACAGGGUCUCAAAUUUUGGAAGACCCCAAAUUUUGAAAGGUCCAAUUUUUCCCAUAAAUAUUAAUAGAGAUAAAAAAUGCUAUAAAAAACCCAAUAAAUCAAAAAAUUCUAUGAUAAAAACCCAAUACAUACAAAAAUUGAAAUUCAUCAAAACUCAAAAUAAUUAUAACUAAAUUAAUUUUUGGUUAAUACAUAAUUGUAUUUUUGGUAUCUUUUUAAUUAUUAUAAUUGCAUUUUUUUUAGUUUGGGCUCAUUUUUAAAAUUAGAAUGGGGCCUCCGAGAUGAUUGGGUCAACCAUGCCUAGAAGAAAGAAGUUGAACAACAUAUCUUGAUUAUUCCACGAACAACACUUAUGCCAUCAAUCUUACUCUUUUUUUUUCUAUUGUUGUGGUUUGUGUGAGCAUAUAAUUUCUCUAGGAACUACCUCGAAUCCCCUGAUAUAUCUCAAAUGAUCUGCUUGGAACCCCUAUUUAUGGGUUUGAAAGGUUAGGCUCAUCAAGCGCACCUUCCAAGCUCGCUUAGUGUGCCUACAUUAUUCAUGUCUAGGUCAUUCUAGCUCAAAUGUAACUUGCCUUGCCGCCUUAACUCGCUAAGCAAAUCACCCACACUCACUUAGCCACCAGGCCCUUCCUUCACCUUGAAGUAACUCAAACCUAAUGUCAUGAACCUCAUUUACUCCCUAACUGCGUCUGUGUUCUUAGCUUAGCAAGGUUGGUACAUUUGCUUGCUUAUCGCGCCUAUGCUCUUGGCUUAGUGAGUCUUGUUAUGUUGGGAAAGUACUUUAGCUUGGUCGUUGUGUUGCUUUGGUGACUUCUUUAUCAUUUUUACCUGUUUUUAAUCAAUACAUGCUUAAAAGGUCCAAACAAGCGUUUUUUUAUCAAUUUUCAUUGAUAAAUUAGGGUUUUAUUACUUGUAAAAUAAGAUAAUAAUUGCAUACAUAUUUAACAUAUUUUUAGCAUUUAUCACACCGAGAUAAGAAAUUUAACUUAUAAACAAAUGUUUAAGUUAAGUGUUAAGCUCAGUAAAGAUAAUGAGAAAUUAAAAAAGAGCUUAAUCAAUUGUAAAGAGUAUAUUAAAUUUCUAAAAAAUAGCAAUUAUAUUCUUGGUGAAACAAUAACUAAUAUUAUAAAUGAAUCUUCAAAAUCGAAAAAAUGUGAAACUUGUGAGUUCUUAAGAAAUGAAGUAGCCAAAUUGUAUGAAACAAAAAUCAAUUUACACAAUAAAAUUCUUCUAGAAUCAUUUACUUUUUUUUUACCAAUAGAAUCAUUCAUUUUUAAAAGAAUAUUAAAUCUAUGUUUAGGUCAUUUUUAUAUAUGAUGAAUUUUUUGUAGUGAAACCAAGGGUGUUUGUAGAUUUUUAUGCUAAAAGUGAUUCAAACUACAAGAGAAAAAAUGUAUUAUUCAGUUUGGUUUGGUUUGGUUGACAUUUAAAAAUAAAACUAAACCAAAUCAAAUCAAUGAAAUUUGGGUUGGCUUGGUGGUUCGGUUAUAUAUAAAAAAAUUAUUGAGUCAUAUAUACACAAUGAAUGUUGGUGCAAAGGUAGAAUAAAUGAAGAAUGGAAAUAUUCUAUUCAGAGAAUGACGGCUACAAAACAUGAUAAAAGUUACAAUGAUUGUCACCCUAUUUAUAAGCUAAAACUAGGGUUACUAGAAUAGGAUAAAAUACUAAAAUACCCUCUAACAAACUUAAGGGCUAAGAAAAAUAGUAUAAUUAAAUAUGAAUUACUUCUAAUACCAUCCCUUAAUUCAUAUUCCAUCAAAACUUGUAACACCAAUUCCAUCCCUUAAUCUGAGAAAUUGAUCAGUCUUGAUAGCUUUCGUCAGAACAUCUGCCAACUGUUUCUGAGUGCUGCAGUGUACAACUUCUAACACUCCCCUCUGAACUUGAUGUCUCAGAAAAUGAUACUUGGUCUCAAUGUGCUUGCUUCUCCCAUGCAACACUGGGUUUCUGGCAAGAUUGAUUGCAGACUUGUUGUCAAUCAUCAGCUUCAGAGGUUUGUUUACUUUAAUCUUCAGAUCCUGCAAUAGAUUCAGAAUCCACACAGCUUGGCAUGCAGUAACAGCACCUGCAAUGUAUUCAGCUUCACAAGUUGACAACGCCACAACAGGUUGCUUCUUGGAACACCAAGAAAUGGGACCUCCCAGAAAUUUGAAUAAGUACCCAGACGUACUUCUUCUGUCAACUCUGUCUCCACACCAAUCAGAAUCUGAAUAACUCAGAAGUUCUGACUCAUCCUUUCUUCCAGAAGGAAAUAAUACUCCAUACUUCAGAGUUCCCUUGAUAUACCUCAGAAUCCUGACAGCAGCUUGGUAAUGGGACCACUUAGGUUUACUCAUGAACCUACUAACCAUCCCAACUGAAUAGCAAAUAUCAGGUCUGGUAUUGCACAAAUACCUCAGAGAACCAACCAACUGUUUGAAGGUUGUAGCGUCCACAUCCUUUCCAUCAGAGUCAGAAUCCAGUUUCUGAUUUGUAUCAGAAGGUGUGACAGCAAUCUUACAAUUCUUCAGAUUAAAUCUCUUCAGAAGUUCUAAUUCAUACUUGAGCUGAUGCAAAAUAAUACCUUUCUCAGAGUAUCUGAAUUCCAUCCCUAGAAAGUAUGUCAUUUUGCCUAGAUCAGUCAUUUCGAAUUCAUUCAUCAGAACUUUCUUGAACUUGGCUAUCUCCUGUUCAGAACUUCCAGUCAGCAGUAUAUCAUCAACAUAUAAACAUACCAGAGUCAUAUUUCCUUCAGAAGUAUGCUGAACAUAGACACCGUACUCCAUCUCACAUUUCUGAAAGCCUUGCUUCUUGAAAAAUGAAUCAAUCUUCUGAUUCCAAGCUCUGGGCGCUUGUUUCAAUCCAUAUAGAGCUUUGUAUAAUCUGUACACCAUCCCUUCCUGAUUCUUUUUCACAAAUCCAGGAGGUUGUGACACGUAAACUUCUUCUUCUAAUGGACCGUUCAGAAAUGCAGAUUUUACAUCUAAAUGCAUCAGAGGCCAAUUCCUGUUAGCAGCUAUUGCAAUCACCAUUCUGAUUGUUUCAUGUCUUGCUACAGGUGCAAACACUUCAGAGUAAUCCAGCCCAGGUUUCUGUAGAAAUCCUCUGGCUACCAACCUUGCUUUAUGUUUGCCAAUUGAACCAUCUGGCUUUAACUUCUGCUUGAAAACCCAUCUGACGCUGAUGGCUUUCUUGUCUUUUGGAAGUUCUGUCAGCUUCCAAGUCUCGUUUCUCUCUAUAGCAUCAAGUUCUUCUUUCAUGGCCUUCAGCCAGAGCUUCUGCUUAAGAGCCUCUUCUGUACUUAUGGGUUCAGAGUCUACUAACAUGGCACACUGAAUAACUUCUCCUUCAGAGUAUACUUCAGUGUCUUGCAGCAUGUCAAAUUCUGCAUAUCUUCUGGGGAUGUUUCUGAUUCUUUGUGGUCUCUGAACUUGUUCAGAGUCUUGAGCUUCAGAGUUUCUAGCUUCAGGUGGUUGAUUUCCUCCAGAGCUUUGACCAUCUUCAGGGUCUGGCAUAUUUCCAGAGUCUGAAUUGCCACCAGAAUCUGGAUUACCAUCAGAGUCUGGGUCAUUAGAGUCUGGAUCAUCAGAGUCACCUUCAUCUUCUGAGUCUUCUCCAGAGUCAGAAUCACUAUCAGAAAGAGAGAUAAGAGUCAGAAUCCCACUAUCAGAAUCAGAAUCAACGUCAAAGUUUACUCACACUUUCAGAAAUCUUAACCUGACCUUCUUCAGAAGUUCAACCAUCAAGAAUCAGAUGAGAACUUAAUCCCAAUUCCAACUUCUGAAUUCCCUUCACAAUCACAUCCCUCUGCUUGAGAAUUCAUUUAAUUGGUUUUUGGACAAUAGAGCUUGUAUGGCACCUGACUGUGGUCCUCAUCAGAAAUCAACUCAUUUGCUUCUCUAUCAUCCAUCCCUUCUGUCUUUCUGGCUUCUUGGAACAUUGUUUUAUAGCAAACAGAACCAAAACACUUCAGAUGACUAACACUUUGCUUAUCCUCCUGUCCACUCUGUAUUGGACUAUUUGUCUCAACUUCUCGUAGGGACAUCGUUAGUUACAUAUUGUGGGCGGUGGCACAAAGCUUUUCCCCUGACUUCUGAGAAGCUUGCUUCUCCUUUAGCAUGCUUCUCAACUAUAUCAAGCAAAGUGCGGUUUCUUCUUUCAGCAAGACCAUUGUGUUGAGGGGUAUAAGGAGCAGUAACUCAUGCCAAUUCCAUUCUCCUCACAGAACUUCUGGACCUCUUGGAGUUAUACUCACCUCCACCGUCAGUUCUAAGAAUCUUCAACUUCUUACCACACUCUGAUUCUCAGCCCUUCAUUCUGAACUUCUUGAAUUCAUCAAAACACUCGUGUUUAUAAAACUUAAUAUGGAUACCCAUGUCAUUCUUGUGAAUUAAUUAACAAAUAACACAAAGUAUUUAUUCCCUCCAAUCGAGUACUGGAAAGUGGACCACAAACUCAGAAUGUACAACUCCCAAGGCAUGUUUGCUCUUGGAGCGAAUUUCUGACGCAAAUGCAAUCGUGGUUGUUUUCGCUUCCAUGAACUUUGCAUGAUUUUUCAGGCUUCUAAUUGCAGGAAUUCAUGUACCAACUUCUUUGAAUUCAGAUGUUUUUAAGCUUCUGAAUUCAAAUGACCAAAUCUUCUGUGCCAACAACUCACUCUCCUUCUCAGCAUUGUUGCACUAAGACAUUCUGAGUCUGCAGUUCUGACAUUCACCUUGAAUGUUCUAUUCUCUUCCCUGUUCUGACUCCAUACAUCAACUUCCUGAUUGCAGUCAUACAGCUUCAGAAGAUGGUCCUUCAUGGUAACUGAAAACCUUUCUCAAUUAAUUGUCCACACUCAUCAGAUUGCUUCUGAUGCCAGGUAAUACCACACGUUCUGAAUCAAUGUUGUUUUCCCAUUGUUCAGAAUCACUCUGACAUUUCCCAUACCUUCUGCGAUUAAGAUAUUUUCAUCAAGCACAUCUGAUCUUUGUCCCUUUCGAGAUCAAAGUCAACCAGCCCAUUUCUUUUGCCAUAGAUGUUGAAUAGCCAGUGUCCAUAUACCCACCAGUCUAUCAGAUCCAUAUCACCAAGUUCAGACGGCAUCAAUAGCACAGAUUCGUCAUCAGAACAUCUGGCUAUAUUUGCUUCUUCUGAUUUCUCUCCUUGUUUGACCAAAGUCUCUAGCAAAGUGACCCAAACUUCUUACAAAGUAACAUUGGAUCUUCUUCUUGUCAUACUUCUCUUUCCCUCUGAGCAUUCUUUUGUCUAUCAGAGGUUGAGCUUCUGACUUCUGACACCAUCAGAUCUUCUCUGGCUUCUGACUGCUUCUGUACCUCCUAUCAGAAGUUGCUUUCAGAGCCUGCUGCUCUACUAUUCCUUUCCAGAAGUUCUCUCAAGCAAACGCAACUCUUGCGCUUCUAGACUACUCUGCCAGCUCUUCAAUUCUCAUGGUGCUCAGAUCUUUGAAUGUUCUAUUGCUACAUAUGUAAAUCAAAUUGAGAGGUAAGGGAUCUCAAUCCUUCUCCAUGAUUGUUUCUUCAGAAAGAGUCUCCACACGCUUUCAUCUCAUUAGUGAUCAGAAUCACUCUGGAGAUGUAUUCAGAAACUUUCUCAUUAUUCUUCAUGUUGAGAUUCUCAUAUUGUUUUCUCAAGGACUAAAGCUCACCUUCUUCACUGAUGCGUCACCACCAUAACAUCUAACCAGGGUGUCCACGCAACCUUUGCUGUCGUUGAAUCUGCAAUCUCUCAAACACAUUUACAUCAACACAUUGAUGAAUGAAGAACCAUGCUUUUCUGAUCCUUCUUCCUUACUUCCUUCUGCGCGUUUUUCUGUUCAUCGUCCGCAUCUGCUGCAUCCUGGAAACAAUAACCAUCAGUGCAAGAUCUAGAACAUCUGGAGCACGAACAGUACACGCAUUUGGAUCAUCCAACGAUUCCAGUUUUUACCGUCAAUACUGGAAGUUUGGUGUUCAUGUUGCCGUUUCCGUUCAUCUUUCUACCUUGCACAGUACACUCAGAUUUCUCACACCAGUGUUUCCCAACCCACAGAAUUAAAUUCUGAUCAGAUUUGUUCAAGAUUCAACACAAAUCUAAGAAUCAAAAUCAACACACAAGACCUCACGUUCACAUCGUGUUUCCCCGUGUUUUCCCAAUGAAUCCGAACCGGAGCUCUAGAUACCAAUGUUGGUGCAAAGGUAGAAAUAAAUGAAGAAUGAAAAUAUUCUAUUCAGAGAAUGACGGCUACAAAACAUGAUAAAAGUUACANUCACGAAAUUAGUCCAGGCACAUACACUAUUUGAUAAGGCGAUAGGAAUUUCAACACGAUGUCAACAACUUCCAACUAUAAAUCAGGCUCAGAUUCUUUAACUUGCGGUGCUUAUUCAGUGCAAUAGUUCCUAACACACAUCAGAUAAGUCGAUUGAAGAUUUAUCAUUUACAUGCUGAUUCCUUCCAAUCAUCUGCUGCUGAUUCAAUUGUUAUUGCGAAGGCUUUUUGGACAAUUGAAUGCCUUGUUCAAAUGCCCACCUUUCGGUAUUCUAAUCAUUAAGUUAGAGAUACAUAGGAACCUUCCAGAAAUGCAUCAUUUUGGCUGUCUACAUUCCUGAGAAUCUCUGUGUUCCUUGCCUUAUCGAGAUUUCCCUAUUGCGAAACCUCUUGUUGUAUUAGAACAGAACCAACACUUCGAGUCAUGACUAGACACUUUGUUAUUCUGUCCCUUCUGAAUUGGAAUAUUUCCUUAAUUCUUGAUUAGAACGUUGAGUAGCAAUUUCAAAUCGUCGGUCCUGGCUUGUAUGGGCUUGGCAUCUUCUCUGCAGCGAUUCAUUAUGUGAUUGAGGUACAUAUGUUGCUGUAGGUAGCGUGGCCUGACAUGUCUUGCCCGGAGAGCUUUGAUGGAAGUUCUCCUUCGUUUAGGCUUUUAUGGCUUUUUCACUAUCAGCAAGGAUCGUUAUGUGCGGGUUUUCUUCUUUCAGCAAGCAUGUGUUUGAGGUGGUGAUUAAGAGCAAGAGUCCUCAUGUCAAUUCCUUUCUCCGGGGACUUUCUGCGUAAUCUCUUUGGUGUGAGGUGACUAUGCCCUAUUGACGUCAGUUUCUAGAAUCUUAACUUCUUGACCACACCUACUGAUCUAGACUUUCAUUUCUGCAUUGCAUGUGAGAUUUUCAUCAAUAACCCACCUCGUGGUUUUAAUGUAAUUUAACGGGAUGUUCUGAUGCUAUGGGGAUACCCAUGGUCAUCUUGUUGAAUUCAAUUAACAACAAUAACACAGCAGGCUUUUUUCAUAGUUGUCUUUCCCUCAACUCGGAGAUGAGUACAUUGGAUCAAAAUGAUGGACACAAAUAGAAUGUAAAUCCAGGGCCAUGAUUUGCAUCUUGGGCAUUUUCUGCAGCAUUUCUGCGCAAAUGCAAUCGUGGUUGUUUCCUUCAUGAACUGAUUGAUUUCAGGCUCUUAUGCAGAAUUCAUGUUUGUAACAAAACUUGUCUCUGAAUUUGAGUGUUUUUCAGCUCUGAAUUCCAAAAAUGAUCCAAAUCUUCUGUGCCAACGUCCUUCCUUCUAACUUGUUGCACUAACGAAUUCAUGAGGUCUGAUUGAUGCUGCAGUUAUAUGAAAUUCACCUUGAAUGUGUCUAUUCAUAUGAAGAACCUUCCUUUCUGACUAAGCACCAAAAUAAUAUUAAUGGAACAUUGUCUCUACUCUUGCGUACAUACAUUGGCUUCGAAAAGAAUGAUUCUUCUGAACUGAAACCUUCGAUCAAUAUUGUUCCACACUCAUUAGAUUGUUUGAUGCCAGAAUUACCACGACGAAGAAAGUUUUCUGACAUCAAUGUGAUUGUUUCCACAUUUGUUUUCAGAACCCUAAUGACUUUCCCUACCUUCUGCAUUAAGAUAUUGUAUCUGCACCUCUGAUGUUCUCUUUUUCAGAGUCGGAAAGUCACCAGCCCAUUAUGAAAUUUUUCUAAGUGAAGAAUCUGUGAUUGUAGAAAAAUAGCAGUGAUGUGGGUUGAUUUAUACAACGUCUGUCAGUCGGUCUCUUAUUUUACAGAUCUUUGGGAGGCAUCAUGAAUCUAUGCACACAGAUUUUCGUUAGUUCACUUUCAGAACACUCACUAUGAGUUACUAUAUUCUGAACUUUCAUUUUCUUGAUUUUCUCUCUGUUGAACAUGCAGAGCGUACUACAAGUGAGAGACGAGAAUCUUCUCUUGUCAUAACUUACUGGCUUUUGUCUAUCGAGGUUGAUGCUUUCUAGAUGUCUCGACCACUCAGAUUUCUCCUGGCUCUGACUGCUUCUGAUCUUCUAUCGUGUAAAGGGAUUGCAUUUCAAAGAGACAAUGCUGCUCUCUUCUUUCAGAACGCUGCUCAGUCAUACGCAACUCCUUGUCGCUUUAGACACUCUGCGCUUUCAAUUUCAUGUGUCAGAAUCUUUGGAAUCUAUGGGUGUCCAUAUGUAAUCAUGAGAGGAAGGUGAUUCAUGUUUCUCGUCUCGCAAGGACGGGAAGGUUUCCACAGUAUUCAAUUAAGUGUCGAAUGGGUAUAUCAGCAAACUUAUUUGUCUCAUUUGAUGUUCUUUGUUAGGCAUUUCAUCUAACAUGUUUUCGGACUAAGGGCCUAUGCAGCACUGCAUUCGUUGCUACGUUAGUGCUGAUGUUAGCCAAUUCCCUUAACAAUCUUUGUCACUCGACCGACAUUCUAAUUAACUUCAGGGCAAUAUGUAUGAAUGUUAGGUGUCAUCGAACGCAAAUACCUUUUGCUCAAUGUUUUAAGCUUUGAUAAUUGAGAUCUGCCAUGCUUGUCCUGCUCAAAAUAUCACACAAUGUAUUUAUUGCAAUCGUAUCUGACUGAAUUGAGACAUUGCAUUUGAUGGGCAUGAUUAUGACAGAUUAUGAAAUUAUGAGGUCAAGAAAGACGAUUUGUAAUGCUCAUAAUGGCUCACCUCAUUUUGAUUUUUGGCAGCAUCUUAUGGUUUUGUAAAGUUUAUGCAUCUGGUUUGAGUCUUUCAGAUUAGAUUACUGGCCGUGUCGUUGUUGAUCAUUAUCUGUCCUGUUCCAACACAAAUGAGAUUCUAAUGAUUCUUGUGACUUUCUUGAAUGAAGGAUACAGCAGAGUAUCUUCAACUAUCUCAUGUUCAACAAAUUUUUCAUUUGAGUUAUCUUGGUGAAGCCUGGUAACUGUGGAGGAGAAACCUUAUCCAUCUUUAGGCAAUUCAAUUACUAGCUAGGUAACCUUAUUUUUUUGUUGAAAGCUUCUUCAUCUGACCUCAAAUUCUUCGCUAUGUGGAUGUUUGAAAUGUCAAUCCGGAAGAUUGUUUUGAACAACAUAGGAAUAUACGAACGUCGCUUUCUCUCACUUUUCCACUACCGCGAAAUUCAACAGUUGUACUGGAGUUGGACUGGCUGAGUUUCAGUUGACUGAGAUGGCCUUGAUGAGAUUCACUUACCACUUGAGAUUUUGAUUCAAAUUGUGUUGCAUGGCUCAUUGACUCUUAAUGAUGAUAUGGUGCCAAAUUUCAAGAAUGGCACUUAUGUCAAUGAUGCCGUUUUGAUGUUUGACUUAGAUUGUUCAUCGUGCCAGUAACAAGGUUAGAUGAAUAUUUGUCUUUUGUUAGUGAACAAUGAAAGCAUGUAUAACAACAGAAAAUGCUUGCGUGUCAGAACACUCUCAAAAGAUAACACCAGGGAAUGGAGCAACAGUCAGUGCAAUACGAUCCUUGAGGAGCAUGAAUGAUCAUGAGUUAUGUGUAUUGUCACGGAGAUCUUUAGGGACAAAUUCGGUGUUUGAGCAGUUUAACUGCCUAUUCUAGGUAGUUCUAGUGCCAGGGAGAAAAGUUGUAAGUAUCAGUAGAUCGUUCAUCUUGUGAUCGCGUGUUGUGAUAUGAGAAAGAGAUGGGGUAAUUAAAUAGUUGAUUAAUGAGAGCAUUAUUUUUGGUCCCUCAGGAGACCUUAUAGUCUUUUGUGCGUAACUGCUUUUAUGGCACUGCAAAGAGAAAACAAAUUGUGGGGACAUAUGGGUCCAAAGAGUAAGAAACACAUAAGAUCUUUUCGCUGCCACAGUGUUCGUCCCAACCGUUACACCACUAACCGAAUAAGGAUAAAUAGGCUUCUAACUAAGACUCUCCAAGAUGGGUUUGUGUUCCAUUGAAUUUGGGUUCAAUAAAAAGCAAACGAAAUAGAAGUGUACUAAGGACGGACUACGCAUAUGAACUAAUUAGGUCGAAGAAAAAACACAUAUGAACAGUGCCCUUCGCGUUUACUCGUGGGGAUAAAACGAUGAUUUGUGAUGGGCGACUCACUGGGACGUAGAGAUGAUUUUACACUGGGGAAAAGAUGAUGAUUUCAAAAGGAAGAAAUCCAUUGGAGAGACACAGCUGGCUCAAACUAUCCACAAGGUACUUCGAUUGAAAUCCGGCUGCGGCCUAGGAAUUCAAGCAGACCUCCCCAAUCGAAUAUGUCGCGCGAGAACCGGAAAGCUGUAAGGAAAUAAACAAAAAAUUUGCAUAUUGUUUGUGGGGAAACGCCGGAAUUACAGCAAAGGUAAUACAACGGAAAUCCACGGUGUGGCGAAAGGUCAACAUAGUGUACUUUACAGGAGAAGGAUCAAUGAAAGCGAACAAUGAAAGAAAUGAAUUUGGUGUACUCAAUUAGGGUGAAUGUAUAAAGCGUAAGAGAACAUCUCCGACGAACGAUUAGAAACAGUAUCUGUAAGUACCAAAGUUAAUGGCGUUAUACCUAAUGGUUCGGAGACUCAUCACUUUGUCUAAUCGACAUACAAUUUGCAGACUAAGGAGACCUGAAAAAGGUAGCGUAUCAAUACUACAGUGAAUCUGAUGAGAGUAUACGUAGGGGGAACCAAAGGUUUAAUAGCGGGUCCCAAUAAGACGAAUAUGCGCCGUCUAAAAUUAAGGCGCAUGUGGAUAUCAGGGAGGUAGUAUUAAUAGAGUACUGAUUAUAUAAGAUGCAAGUUGAGACCAAAGAGUGAAUUGGAUUACUUAUAAUUUUAAAUUAUUGACCAAAACAACUAUAGUCUUUCGAUCAUCUAAGUACAGCUAAUGAAACUGAAGAUUCUUGUCAUUAUUAAGUGAGCAUUUAAUGGCUUUUCUCGAAAUUGCACAAGGUUUUAGUUGGAUAAUACGAGAAAUGAAUGUCAUCUGUGAUGAAGUUAAUAGAAAACAAUUGCGAAAACAUUGACCAAUGCGGAUGCUUUAAAUGGAUAUCACUUAUUUAUAUUGCAAAUGUUGUAUCCGUUCAGAACUCUCAAAUAUUUAUCUUUAUUUGCUGGAAGAAUUAUAUAGCUCGAUUAAUAAGCAGGACAAACAUGAAUUGUAGAUCAUUUUCAUGAUGAUAAAUUUGAUGUAUAUAUUGUGGAUAUAUUUUCUAAGUUGCAAGUACAUGUCGCCCUUACGUGGUGACUGUGCUAGUAAUUUCUGAAAUAUUAUAAUAAUGAAUUUGUCUAGAUAUUCUUUAUCUAUCCCAAAUAUUAGCGUUAAAUUGAUAUUUGCCAAUAACUCAUCUAUACAAUAUAUAGAGUGCAGAAGGACUAUAAAGUAAAAGCAAGUUGACUUACAGGAAUUGAGUAGAAUUGCGGUUGAUUAAACUUUUUUUAAUUCCGCACCGCUUGGCUGUAUCCAAAAUGAACGAAGGAAACGUACAAUAUUAAUAACUAGGCCUGUGUAAAAAUAAAGUAGAGUAUGCGACGAUUUGCAAUUAACACUAAAAAGAAAUGAAUGCUAAGCAGUGUUUGAUGAAUAUAUAACAAGAACUAUCCAAUUCAUUCAAGGUAAUUUACUCUUUUUAGAUGAGAUGUUACUAAUAUGCUAUAUAUCGACAUUAUAACUGCCGUAUGUAGAGGUAAGAAUAUUAAUUUUUAAUAUCUGAUGCUCUUCAAUAUCCUUGUGUCAAGGGCUAAUAUAAACGUGAUGAGAGGUUUCAAUCUAUGGUAUUACUCGCUUAUGGAUCGGACCAUUUGGCCAAAGAUGAUCACAAACUGGUAUUCGAACUGAACUAGCUUUGGGUAGUUAUAAUUGACUAAGUUACGACAAAUAUCUCAGUGACAUCCGUUAUAAAUGUAUUUUUUUAUUUUUUUUUUCGAUUUAGUUCAGUUUCCAUCCGAAUAUUUUUUUUUUUUUGUUUUCUGGUUUUAUAGACGCAAUCUCUCGAUCGCAAAUUCACAAGCUUGUUAAAGGUUUUAAUAUGUGACCUACAAAUAUCACUUCGAUAUUUUUACCUCAAACGCCUGUUUUAUACGAAUAUUUUUCUUUCUACUUGGGUAGAAAUUUUUGCAACAAAGGACUCACAAAGAGUGUGAAGAGUAUAGUAUUCUUGACGACGUUGUCAGACGUGAAUAUAUACUCGAAAGGGAAGUACCCAAGACUCGAAUACAAACUAGAGGAAACUCCUCUAUACUAGUAGGUGUUUAAAUACAAAAACAUAUCUAAGAGCUAUAUAUAACGACUUAAAAGUGAUCGAAAAUUUAAAGUAGAUAAAUUGUCCAGUCACAAAAUUAUUAUAAUGAGAAAAGAGAGACAUGAUUAUCUCUAUCAUUUUUUUUUCCGAAGGACUUGUACAGUAAUCCACAUAAUAUAUUUUUUGGAGUUGCUCUUUGCAGUUUAAUUGAUAUACACUAAGCUUAGAAGCGUAGAAUUUGUGACCCUAUCAGUGUUAGUUCAUAGACCUCGUCUGGGGAGUAUUAAAACAAGUUUGACUUUUUAUUUUAAAAUCUAGUAAAUUAAUGCAAAAAUGUAUGUGCAUAAGCGUGAUCGAAUCGACUUUGUCGUCGUAGAAACUUCUUUACACUAGGCCAAAUUGAUGGUCCCAUGAUAGAUUAAUCUCAUUUGACAUUUUUUUACAUUGACUAAACUCUCAAAACAUCUAUUCAUAUCUUACAAUUUCUUCUAGGUAUUCUUAUCAUUGAGCAGCAACUAUUAUAUUCUUUGUUAAUUCAAUUUAUUGACUCAAUUUAUCAAUUUACAAUUAUUGUUUUAUUAAUUUACUUUUUUUAUUGUUUGAACAUAUUGCGCUGCGAAGAAAUUAAUUUUGAAUAUUUCUAAUUUUUAUAUCCUCUAACUUCUGGUAUUGUCAAACUUCAACCACUGUCUAUAUUUUUACUACGUACUUCUCUUGGAUACAAUGUGAUUUUUAUUUGAAAAAAAUUUUAUGAUAUAUUUUGUGUGUGUUGCCUAUACCUAUUAGAAGAGUUAAAACAACUAUCUUUUUGGAUCUUAACGAUUUUUUUAAUGUCAUUUAAAUUGAACAUGAGCAGAAUAUAUUUUCUAUGCUUCACCCGUCUAAUGUUAAUCAUGUCUCAUUAGGAGAUUGAUGGAUACACCCGCUCUGUCGGCUACACUCGCAUACUUGGGAUUGGUAUUUCACAAAUACUGCCGUGAGUCUUAUAUUUGAAUUGUAUAGUGCAUGUUAUAUCACAAAAAGUUUACUGUAUUCAAUAAUAAAUGUUUCAUUAUUUUUAAAUUAGUAUUUUCUUAAUAAUUAAUCCUUCUCGAUUUAUUAAAUAAUAUAGGUCAUAGUGUUUCAGUCGGUAUCUAUAGUAUAUAUCCAACAACCAGCUGGUUUAUAUAAUUGAUAUGGAUGACUAUAAUCAAUUAUACAUAUAAUUAUAUAAUAUAUUAAUACUAUUAUUAGUGAGCUAUUAUUAUUAUAUAUAUAUUAUAUUUUCAUACUUACUUAUAUAAUUGAUUAUAUUAGUAUAUAUAUAAGUAUAUAUAGUUCUUAUGAACAAGCAAGUUCAUAGUAUUUACAUAAUAGAGAUACUCCCUAUUUUAGAUUUUGAGUUUUUCUUCUCGAAGUAAGGCCCAAAAUUAGCCUAACUAACUCAGCUAAACAAUAUUUGACGUUAGUCUAACAUUACUGUCGAGAUACUCUUCGACAUUAAACACCUAGGUGAUUCGAUACUUCCUUACUUCUGCUGUCGAGGCAACUGCUUCGACACAAGAAUUUACAAUUCAACACACCACCUAAUUCAUUGUGUCUACGCUAUCUACAUUUAUCUUAGACCUUAAUAUUCUUAUACGAUGCAUGCACUCCUUUUGUCAUGAUGUCUACAAUCUGAAUUUCAGUUCUCUAGUGUUCCAAGUUCAGCCUUCGUUUUUGGUCAUAAUGCUAGCUCAUCGGAGAUAAGAGUGGAAUUACCGUCUCAUUUCGUGUCAUAGGUUGCUGUGGAUGCUUGCCAAACAACUUUAUUCCACAUUACUGAUGGGAUUCCAAAGGAGAGUACUUGCAAGCAUACGACAUGUCCAGAAGAGCGGGUACAAUUGCUAGGCAACAGGAACUAUCAAAAGUAAGGAACGUAAUCUCUUUCAGACAAAAUCAAUGAAACGCGAAUGAAGAGUGACAACUAAGAAGUAAUGCCAACUUCGCUCGAUGGAAUUAGAUGUAUUUUAAAGCAAGGAAUGCAACAACAAGUCGUAUACUCGGCGAAGAAUGGUGCGAAAAUUUAAGGUUGUUACGAAUGGCCGAUGCAGCCUGAGAUUAAAGCUGGAUGUGGGUCCCGCCGGUGGACCACGGCUUAAGAAACGCGUUUCUCUUAAAAUAUAACACCAAACGCAUGCUGGCCAUAAUAGACUCAGGGGGAUUAAUUAAAGAAAUUGCGGCUUAAGAACAGCGACAGCUAUAGUAACAACUGGGGGCUUUUAUUAUUCUUCUAUCUAAAUACAAAGCUACAAUCACCAAAGAUUAUUUGUGUGUAUUGGUCACCAAAACAGCACACACCGCAUAUCAUAAGGUUCGCUCUUUCUGUCAAGCUCGAACUGAUCCCUCAUAAAUGCAGUCAUACUCUAUCAUAGCAAUGAGAGAAGAGGAUAAUGACAAGGAUAGUUAAGGGCAUAGCAUAUUUACAUACCGGUUGAUUUUACUGAUGCUUUUUAACCUGGUUCAACAGGCAGGUUUGUUCUUUCAGCAUCAAGGAGAUUUUAUCCGCAUUUUAGAAUGAUAGGUUUUGAACUUUACUUGAUUUUGUAAGAAAUUUGGGUUGGUGGUUGUUUGAUGUUAAGUUCUUGCAAAUGAAGUCAUACUUUGAAAUGUGUGCGGAUCUUGAGUUGUUAGCAUUAGCAUUUAUCUGGCAUUCCAACGUUCGAGUUUGCGAUGAGAGUCUGUGAGGAAACGAGCAGAAGUGUGUUCAGCUGUGAUUUUGUGGGUGAAAUAGAUUUUGUUCCAAAAUGUUGUCAGUAGUGAAGGAAGCAAGAGGGGGCCAGCUUCGUAGACGAGUUUGGAGGGUUUGUCUCAGCAUUCUAUUUUUGUAAUGCAAUUGGAUUGAGGAGUGUUGAGAUUAUGUUGUAGAUCUGGCUAACGUCUGGUGGAUGGGGUGAGGUAAUGUAUAGAUUUUGGGGUAGACUUUUGGUACAUGGACAGAAAACAUUCUUUAUGAUUGCUGUUCGUGUUUAAGACUCACUAAUGGAAUGUAACAGUUUGACUUAAUAUGUAACAAAAUGACAGUUGCUAAUAGUUGGGCUAAGUGGAGAGUGGGGAAGGUGAGUUCGCUCAUGAAGAUGACUUGAUAACGAAUUAGAGCUUUGGGCAAUGCGUUUGCACCAUCGAACUCAAAUUGAUGUGGUUGCGUUUGUUUUUAGUCCAUCCAAGAUAGUCCGCCUUUCCUGUUUGCUGGCUACAAAACAUGAUAAAAGUUACAAUGAUUGUCACCCUAUUUAUAAGCUAAAACUAGGGUUACUAGAAUAGGAUAAAAUACUAAAAUACCCUCUAACAAACUUAAGGGCUAAGAAAAAUAGUAUAACUGAAUAUGAAUUACUUAUAAUAAUGACAACAUAGUUUUGUAUGUAUUCAUUUAUACAUUAUCAUAAAAUGAGUUUAUAAUUGUAAAAAUAAGUUUAUAAUUGGAUGCAUAAAUAUGAAAUGUGUCUUACAAUUUUAUCUUAUGUCUGAAGAGCAUUAUACACAAAAUUGUAUUCUUUAAUAAAUUUGAAAUGUUAUAUAUUGUAUAUUUAUAAGCAAGUACAUGUCUGUGACUAUGUAAUCCUGAUAAUAAUAUAAUUUUAUUUUUAUUAUCAAUAUUUUAUAUAUCAAAAAAUAAAAAAUAAUGUUAAUUAAACUUUUUUUAACCGUAUCUUAUCAAAAUGAACAAAUUAAAAAUAAAAGUAAAAAUAAAUAUAUGGCAAUUUCAUUUCAAAUAAAAAAUAAUAGUAUUUAUAAACAAAUAAUAUUUUAUUUUUUAGAUAAGUAAACUAAAAUUAAUAUCAUUAUAGUAAAUAUAUAAUGGUCUCUCAAAUUUUGUAAUAUAAUGAGGUUCAAUUUGGUUUUACUCGAUUUGCAAAAUACAAACUGUAAUUCGAACUGAACUACGUGGUUCUAUUAAAAAAUAUCUCAAACACAUCCGUAUAAAAUGUAAUUUUUUAUAGUUUUUUCGAUUUAGUUCAGUUUACUUAAUAGUUUUCUAUUAAGUCGAUUCGAUUUUAAAUUUACCUAACAAAAACACUAUUUUCUCCCGUAUUAAAUUUUAUAGAAUUUUGCAUACACCACUAACCAAUAAGGAAACUAAUUUAUAGAGGUGUUUAAAUCAAAAACAUAUCUAAACUAAAACCGUAAAGUGAUCGAAAAAUUUAAGAAUUGCACAAAAUCUAUUAUUAGAAAAAGUGUUUAUAUCAUUUUUCGAAAAUUGCUAAGUUCUAAUAUUAAUUUUGGAUUGAUUUUUGAGUUUAAUUGAAAUACACUAACAGUUUAAAAGGAUUUUACACUAUCAGUUAAUUAUAGACGUUGGAUAUUAAAACAAGUUUGACUUUUAUUUUAAAAAUCUAUAAACUAAUGCAAACGUAUGAUGGUGAUGAAUCGAUUGUGUAAAACUUUUUACACUGACAGUGCAUAGUGAUUAAUCUCUUGAUUUUUUAAACAUUGAACUAAAUUAAAAAUACAUAUUUCAUUUUUUUAUAUUCUUAAUAUGAGCAAAACAUAUUAUAUUUUAUUAUUCAUUAGUACUCAAAUUUCUCAAUACAAUUAUUAGUUUAAAUUAUUUUUACUAUUUUAUAUGUUUGAAACAUAUUUGAAGAAAUUAAUUUUGAAUUUCUAAAUUUUAAUAUAUUAAAUUUUAUAUUUGUCUUCAACCUUAAUAUUUUACAUCAUAUUUACAAUAUUAUUUUUAUUUGAAAAAAUUAUAAUAUGUAAAUUUGUUUGUCUAUAAACCCAUUAAAAAUAAACAACAUCUUUUUGGAUUAGAUUUUUUAAAUAGUCAUUUAAAAUUGAACAUGACAGAAUAUAUUUAUCCUUGCCUCCAACCUAUUUAAUCAAUUCUCAUUAGAGAUGGAAAUCCGCCAUGUCGGCUUACAGUUAGUUAUACUCUGAUUUAUUGAAAUUUAUGUUUAUCAAAUUUAUUUAAUAAAAAUGUUAGAUCUUUUUUAAAAUUAUAUUUAAUUAAAUAAUUAAAUUUAUGUUAUUAAUAAUAUAUAUAUAUAUAUAUAUAUAUAUAUAUAUAUAUAUAUAUAUAUAUAUAUAUAUAUAUAUAUAUAUAUAUAUAUAUAUAUAUAUAUAUAUAUAUANNNNNNNNNNNNNNNNNNNNNNNNNNNNNNNNNNNNNNNNNNNNNNNNNNNNNNNNNNNNNNNNNNNNNNNNNNNNNNNNNNNNNNNNNNNNNNNNNNNNNNNNNNNNNNNNNNNNNNNNNNNNNNNNNNNNNNNNNNNNNNNNNNNNNNNNNNNNNNNNNNNNNNNNNNNNNNNNNNNNNNNNNNNNNNNNNNNNNNNNNNNNNNNNNNNNNNNNNNNNNNNNNNNNNNNNNNNNNNNNNNNNNNNNNNNNNNNNNNNNNNNNNNNNNNNNNNNNNNNNNNNNNNNNNNNNNNNNNNNNNNNNNNNNNNNNNNNNNNNNNNNNNNNNNNNNNNNNNNNNNNNNNNNNNNNNNNNNNNNNNNNNNNNNNNNNNNNNNNNNNNNNNNNNNNNNNNNNNNNNNNNNNNNNNNNNNNNNNNNNNNNNNNNNNNNNNNNNNNNNNNNNNNNNNNNNNNNNNNNNNNNNNNNNNNNNNNNNNNNNNNNNNNNNNNNNNNNNNNNNNNNNNNNNNNNNNNNNNNNNNNNNNNNNNNNNNNNNNNNNNNNNNNNNNNNNNNNNNNNNNNNNNNNNNNNNNNNNNNNNNNNNNNAUAUAUAUAUAUAUAUAUAUAUAUAUAUAUAUAUAUAUAUAUAGAUUUUAUGAAAGCAAGUUCAAGUAUUUACAAUAAUAGAGAUUACUCCCUAUUUAUAGAUUUUGAGCUUACUUUCUUCUCAAGUAAGGCCCAAAAUUAGCCUAACUAACUCAGCUAAACAAAUCAUUGACGUUAAGUCUAACAUUACUGUCGAGAUACUCUUCGACAUUUAAACACCUAGGUGAUUCGAUACUUCCUUACUUCUGUCGAGCAACCUGCUUCGACACAAGGAAUUACAAUUCAACACACCACCUAAUUCAUUGUGUCUACGCUAUCUACAUUUAUCUUAGACCUUAACUUCUUAAACACUUCGAGAUGCACUCCUUUUGUCAUGAUGUCUACAAUCUGAUUUUCAGUUCUCUAGUGUUCCAAGUUCAGCUUCGCUUUUGCUACCUGCUCUCGAAGAUAAUGGAACCUCAUUUCGUUAUGCUUGCUUCGUCCAUGCGCUAUCGAAUUCUUCGCCAGAUUGAUAGCAUACAUGUUAUCAAUCUUCAUGGUAAUCGCUCCAUGAUUCAUCCAUGUAAUCUCUUCGACCAAAUUCAUCAUCCAAGUUGCUUUACAUGCACAAAGAGAAGCAACUAUGUACUCUACUUCACACGACGAAAGUGUCACUGUGUGUUCCUUUCUCAAACUCCAAGCAAUUGGUGCACCACCUGGCAUAAACACAUAGCCAGUUGUGGAUUUUCUAUCCUCAGCAUCACUACACCAACUUGAGUCAGUGUAUCCGACUAGCUUGCAUUUUUUCCUCAGCAGCUUCAGGAAAUAAAAUGCCAUAGUCUAUAGUUCCUUCCAGACACCUUAGUAUCCUCUUCGUCACUACUAGGUGUGAUACAUUUGGUUUCUACAUGAAUCUACUCACCAUACCUACAUUAUAUGCUAGAUCAAGCCUUGUGUGACAAAGGUAUCUAAGUGAUUCAAUGAGUCUUUUGUACUGCGUUGGAUCGACAUCAUCUUCAUAUGUGUCUUUCGACAGUGAAAUCUGGACUCAACUGGAGUCGAAGUUGGGUUGAAAUCUUACAUCUCAAAUCUUUUGAGUAUUUCACCUGCACAUCUUCUUUGGUGCAUCAUCAAACCUCUACCACUCUUGUAGAAUCUGAUGCCAAGGAAAUAUGAGAGAUUUCCCGAGUCUGACAUUUCAAACUCCUCACUUAGGUCAUGUUUGAAAUCUUCAAUCUCCCUCUUGCAACCUCCUGUUAUUAACAGGUCAUCGACAUAGAGACAUACUAUAAGCAAUUUACUAUUGCUUCUUCUUAUGUAUACUCCAUGCUCAGUUGUGCACUUCACAAAUUCCUUUUCUCUUAGAAAGCAAUCUAUCUUCUUGUUUCAAGCUCUUAGAGCUUGCUUAAGUCCAUACAGGGCUUCAUGCAGCCUGUAUACCUUGCUUUCUUUGCCAUGUUUCACAAACCUAGCUGGUUGUGCAACAUACACUUCUUCAUCUAUUGGGUCAUUCAGGAACGCAUAUUUCACAUCCAUCUGAUAUGUGUGCCAGUUGUUCAUGUUUUCUAGACCAACAACCAGCCUAAUUGUUUUAAUCCUAGCAACAGGUGCAAAAACUUCAUUGAAGUCGAUUCCUUCCUUCUGAAGAAAUCCUUUCGCCACAAGUCUUGCCUUGUGUCGAGUUACUUCACCUUUGGGAUUCAACUUCACCUUGUAUACCCACUUCACGUCGAUUUCCUUCUUGCCUUGAGGCAACUCGACAAGUGACCAUGUAUUAUUGUCUUAGAUGGACUUCAUUUCCUCAUUCAUUGCUUUCACCCAUAUUGAAUCCUUCAAUGCCUCAGCUAUAUUGACUGGUUCAACAUCUGCAUAGAAAGCAUAGUAUAUCAGUUCACCUUCGUCAUCAACCACAACACCUGAUGUAAUCACACAUUCUUGCAACCUUGCAGGCAUGUGUCUUGUUCUUGAGGUAUGCUUCUGCUUGCUUGACCUCUCACUUCUUCCUGUCGACCUUCUCUUUUGACUUCGCUUGCUAGUUCUUCAUAUAAGAUUCUCACUGAAUUCUUCUUUACAUUGUCAGUCCAAUCCCAUUCCUUAAGCUCAUCUAUGAUCAUGUCCCUUAUGAUCACUACUUGCUUGCUCACUGGGUCGAAUAACUUGUAACCUCCAGUCGAAUGAUAGCCUAUUAGGAUGAUCUGACUGAACUUGUCAUCAAGUUUUCUUCUCAAUUGAUCAGGCACAUUUCUAUAUGCUAUAGAUUCAAAUACCUUCAGAUGACUCAAGCUAGGCUUGACACUAAACCAAAAUUCUUCUGGUGUAACUCCUUCUAGCUUCUUUGUCGGACAUUUGUUCAAUAUGAAUGUUGCAGUCGACACAACUUCUCCUCAUAAUUCUUUGGGUAUAUACCUGCCUUUCAACAUACUUAUCACCAUGUUCAUGAUGGUUCUAUUUUUCCUUUCUCCCUAUCCAUUCUACUGCGUAGUGUAGGGUGGAACCACCUUGUGCACAAUCUCUUCUUUCUCACAUAGUUUAUCAAAUUCUUUUGAUACAUACUCUCCAUCAUCAUCAGUUCUCAGAAUAUUGAGCUUUCGACCAAUUUGUCUUUUGACCAUAGAUUUAAACUUGGCAAAUACCUUGAUCACUUCACUUUUCUUCUUGAUCAGGUAAGUCCUUAUUUUUUUACUGAAAUCAUCUAUGAAUAUGACAACGUAUAUGUUGUAACACCCAUUUUUCUACCCCAAAAUACUUAGCAUAUAAUCAGAGUGAAUAAACACGCAUAUAAAUAAAAGGGCGUCACAUCGACGUUUUCAAAAACUAAAAGCUUUCAAAAACCAAACAACUUUCAUCAUCAAAUAUACAAUACACCUGGUCAUUUAAAAUAACACAUUUCAAUUAUCAUGAUAUAUCAAGAAUAUGCGUUCGCAGCGGAAAUUAAUGAUAUCCAUGUAUUUCAUAAAAUGAUUCAUGUCCCAUACCAUCAUCUCUCAAUAAUCUCCUCAAGAUAAAAUAAAACCAUAUCCAGAAUAUUUGGCACUAUGGCCUCUCAAACAGCAAAUUGCAAUUAAACAUGUUCACAAGUAAUAACGUAAUACCUGUCCAAAUAAGACAUAAGUUCAAUACUACUAUCUACCCGUGUUACAUGACCAGAGCAUUGACUCAUUACCUAGUCUCUAAACUAAAACACGUAAACUCUCCGGCUAAAUCUCGAGUGAGCUACCGUCCACUUACUUCAGCAAUACUACUCUGGAGUAUCUGCACGAUACCCAUGUAAAGGCAACAUUCAAACAGAAGGUUGAGAAUUCAAAUCAUUAUGAAGAAGUAUAAUAAGGCACAAUGAUUAAAUCAACAAUUAAAGGAAUUCAUCACACUUCGUAUAACCAUGUAAAUAAUACUAACCAACAUUUAUUUCACAUGUUUCCAACAUCCAUCAAAACGCAAGGAGUAUAAUAUUAAAAUCCAAUACUAUAUUCCCAAAUAUACACAUAACUACAAUUAUCACAUAAUCACAUAUUUUUGUCAAAUUAGGUAUCCAAAUAUCACCAAAUUCAAUUACCAUAUCUCAUACACCCUUCACAAUCACAUCAAUGCAUACACUCAAUUAUCACAUAACUCUAAUGUGACUCGAUGCAAGACAUGUGACUCUAUGCAUGUGGUACCGCAAUGUGAACCCAACGUUUCACCGUUUUCCGAUCCAAUAUCUAGAAUCCAAGCCACGCUUCCGAUCAAGAAAAGAUCAAAGCCACUACGUCUAUUUCCAAUUAAGGAUCAACGUCUGCUACGCCUAUUUCCAUUCAAGGAUCAACGUCUAUUACCAUGUGAACCCACAGUUUCACCGCUUCCACCAUGAAGUCGACCAUGCCAUGAAUGAAUGUACAAAUACCNCGUUGGAUCGACAUCAUCUUCAUAUGUGUCUUUCGACAGUGAAAUCUGGACUGCAAUGGAGGUCGAAGUUGGCUUGAAAUCUUCAUCUCAAACUUUUGAGUAUUUCACCUGCACAUCUUUUGGUGCAUCAUCAAACCUCUACCACUCUUGUAGAAUCUGAUGCCAAGGAAAUAUGAGAGAUUUCCCGAGUCUGACAUUUCAAAUCCUCAUUAGGUCAUGUUUGAAUCUUCAAAUCUCCCUCUUGCAACCUCUGUUAUUAACAGGUCAUCGACAUAGAGACAUACUAUAAGCAAUUACUAUUGCUUCUUCUUAUGUAUACUCCAUGCUCAGUUGUGCCACUUCACAAAUUCCUUUUCUCUUAGAAAGCAAUCUAUCUUCUUGUUUCAAGCUCUAGAGCUUGCUUAAGUCCAUACAGGGCUUCAUGCAGCCUGUAUACCUUCUUUCUUUGCAUGUUUCACAAACCUAGCUGGUUGUGCAACAUACACUUCUUCAUCUAUUGGUCAUUCAGGAACGCAUAUUUCACAUCCAUCUGAUAUGUGUGCCAGUUGUUAGUGUUUUCUAGACCAACAACCAGCCUAAUUGUUUUAAUCCUAGCAACAGGUGCAAAAACUUCAUUGAAGUCGAUUCCUUCCUUCUGAAGAAAUCCUUUCGCCACAAGUCUUGCCUUGUGUCGAGUUACUUCACCUUUGGGAUUCAACUUCACCUUUGUAUACCCCACUUCACGCGAUUUCCUUCUUGCCUUGAGACAACUCGACAAGUGACCAUGUAUUAUUGUCUUAGAUGGACUUCAUUUCCUCAUUCAUUGCUUUCACCCAUAUGAAUCCUUCAAUGCCUCAGCUAUAUUGACUGGUUCAACAUCUGCUAGAAAGCAUAGUAUAUCAGUUCACCUUCGUCAUCAACCACAACACCUGAUGUAAUCACACAUUCUUGCAACCUUGCAGGCAUGUGUUUCUGUUCUUGGGAUGUGAGUUCUGGCUUGCUUGAGCCUCUCACUCUCUCUGUGUCGACCUUCCCUUUGACUUCGCUGCUAGUUCUUCAUAUAAGAUUCUCAGCCUGAAUUCUUCUUUACAUUGUCAGUCCAAUCCAUUCCUUAAGUCUCUCUAUGAUCAUGUCCCUUAUGAUCACUACUUGCUUGCUCCACUGGGUCGAAUAACUUGUAACCUCCAGUCGAAUGAUAGCCUAUUAGGAUGAUCUGACUGAACUUGUCAUCAAGUUUUCUCUCAAUUGAUCAGGCACAUUUCUAUAUGCUAUAGAUUCAAAUACCUUCAGAUGACUCAAGCUAGGCUUGACACUAAACCAAAAUUCUCUGGGGUGUAACUCCUUCUAGCCUUCUUUGUCGGACAUUUGUUCAAUAUGAUGUUGCAGUCGACACAACUUCUCCUCAUAAUUCUUGGGUAUAUACCUGCCUUUCAACAUACUUAUACACCAUGUUCAUGAUGGUUCAUUUUUCCUUUCUCCCUAUCCAUUCUACUGCGUAGUGUAGGGUGGAACCACCUUGUGCACAAUCUCUUCUUUCUCACAUAGUUUAUCAAAUUCUUUUGAUACAUACUCUCCAUCAUCAUCAGUCUCAGAAUAUUGAGCUUUCGACCAAUUGUCUUUUUGACCAUAGAUUUAAACUUGGCAAAUACCUUGAUCACUUCCACUUUUCUUCUUGAUCAGGUAAGUCCUUAUUUUUUUACUGAAAUCAUCUAUGAAUAGAACAACGUAUAUGUGUAACACCCAUUUUUCUACCCCAAAAUACUUAGCAAUAUAAUCAGAGUGAAUAAACACGCAUAUAAAUAAAAGGCGUCACAUCGACGUUUCAAAAACUAAAAGCUUUCAAAACCAAACAACUUUCAUCAUCAAUAUACAAUACACCUGGUCAUUUAAAAUAACACAUUUCAAUUAUCAUAAUAUUCAAGAAUAUGCGUUCGCAGCGGAAAAUAAUGAAAUACUCAUGUAUUUCAAAAAUAGAUUCAUGUCCCAUACCAUGACAUCUCUCAAUAAUCUCCUCAAGAUAAAAUAAAACCAUAUCCAGAAUAUUUGGCACUAUGGCCUCUCAACACAAAUUGCAAUUAAACAUGUUCACAUAAUAGUAAUAACGUAAACCUGUCCAAAUUAAGACAUAAGUUCAUACUACUAAUCUACCCGUGUUACAUGACCAGAGCAUUUGACUCAUUACCUAGUCUCUAAACUAAAACACGUAAACUCUCCGGCUAAAUCUCGAGUGAGCUACCGUCCACUUACUUCAGCAAUACUACUCUGGAGUAUCUGCACAAUACCCAUGUAAAGCAACAUUCAAACAGAAGGGUGAGAAUUCAAAUCAUUAUGAAGAAGUAUAUAAGGCACAAUGAUUAAAUCAACAAUUAAAGAGAUUCAUCACACUUCGUAUAACCAUGUAAAUAAUACUAACCAAAUUUAUUUCACAUGUUUCCAACAUCCAUCAAACGCAAGGAGUAUAAAUAUUAUCCAAUACUAUAUUCCCAAAUAUACACAUAACUACAAUUAUCACAUAAUCACAUAUUUUGUAAAUUAGGUAUCCAAAUACACCAAAUUCAAUUACCAUAUCUACUACACCCUUCACAAUCACAAUCAAUGCAUACACUCAAUUAUCACAUAACUCUAAUGUGACUUCGAUGCAAGACAUGUGACUCUAUGACUUGUACCGCAAUGUGAACCCAACGUUUCACCGUUUCCGAUCAAUAUCUAGAAUCCAAGCCACGCUUCCGAUCAAGAAAAGAUCAAAGCCACUACGUCUAUUCCAAUUAAGGUCAACGUCUGCUACGCCUAUUUCCAUUCAAGGAUCAACGUCUAUUACCAUGUGAACCCACAGUUUCAACCGCUUCCACCAUGAAGUCGACCAUGCCAUGAAUGAAUGUACAAAUACCACAUAUAUGCAAUUAAGAUCAUCUCUACCAUCUAAACAUUCCAAUAUCACCAUAAUUCAACUCUAUGAAUUAUCCAUCAAUGGUACAUAUACACAUUCAUAACAAUAUAUCAUUCACAAAUAUAGGCUAAUUAUCAAAUACGCACACUUAGAUUUCAUUUCAAACUGAAUACAACUUUUUAAGUCUCCAUUUUUCAUUUUUCAACAGUGUUAACCGGUUAACGCUUUCAGGUAACCGGUUAACGCGAAACAGAAUGCACUUCAUGACUGAUUUUCAACAGUGUUAACCGGUUAACGCUUUUGGGUAACCAGUUAACGCAAAACAGAAUGCAAUGCCUGUGCAGAUUUUUAACAAGUAACCGGUUAACGCUUUUGGUUAACCGAUUAACACCAAAACAGAAUGCAGAAUUUUCUGCGUUUUUCAUCGUUGGAGGCCUUUCAGACCUCCGAUAUCGAUUCCGUAAAAAGCCAAACGCUCAAAAAAUUAUAACUCAUACAAUACGCUAAGUAUAUAAAGUUACUUUGCAGUUUUAUAACAAUUAAAUCACCACAAAUCAAGAAUACUCACCAAAACCUAACAAUUCCAAAAACCAUGAAAUUUAGGGAUUUCAACGUAAACAUAUUUCUACCCAUUGACUCAAUCAUACUAACCCAUAAUAAUAAGGAUUCUCCCCCUUACCUCUUCGAUUUUUUGGAAACCUUAGCUUCUCUCUUGUUCUUCCCCUCUUCUCCUUACUUUUCCUCUUUUCUUUCUUUGUUGCCGUCAAAUGAUCAAAUGAAUCCUACUUCUCACUCUCCUACCUCUUACUAUUCUAGUAUUAUAUUUGGGCUUAAAGAAUGAUACCUCUAAUUUAAUUAAUAGGCCCAAUAAGACAUAGUAUCAUAAUAUCUCUAUUUAAUUCAAUUCAAUUAAACCAACACAGUAUACACACCAAGUUAAUUAAUAUAAUUAAUUAUUCAAUUAUAUCUCAUAUCAGCUAAAUAAUUAAUUAACACACCAAAUUAAUUAAUAUAAUCAAUUAUUAUACUACCUAAUAACCAAUUAAUUAAUUACCACUCUAAAUAAUUAAAAUAAAAUAUAAUAAUAAUAAUAUAAGGAAUAAAUACUAAAAUUGGGUUGUUACAACUCUCCCCCACUUAAAGAAUUUCGGCCUCGAAAAUUUACCUCAAACGAACAACUCCGAAUACGAUUCCUUCAUCUUAUCCUCGAGUUCCCAAGUAAUAUUGCCAUUGGCGGCUCCGCCCCAUAUCACUUUCACCAAAGCAAUCUCUUUACCACGAAGCUUCUUCACUUCUCGAUCCUCAAUUCGCAUAGGUGAUGUAUCGACCGUCAAUUAUCCUUCACUUGAACAUCAUUUAAUGGAACAACAUGCGAUGGAUCUGCAAUGUACCUCCUCAAUUGAGACACAUGGAACACAUCAUGAAGAUUAGAAAGUGUCGGUGGUAAUGCAAUCCGAUAUGCCACUUCACCUACCCUCUCGGAAAUCUGAUAAGGACCAAUGAAUCGCGACGUCAACUUACGCGACUUCAAAGCUUUACCAACACCCGUUAUUGGCGUAACUCGAAGAAACACAUGCUCAUCUUUCUCAAACUCAAAAGCUUUCCUCCUCUUAUCAUGAUAACUCUUUUGACGACUCUGAGAAGCCUUCAUCUUCUCUUGAAUCAUCUUAAUCUUAUCUGUAGUCUCUUGAAUCAACUCGGGUCCAACCACAACACUCUCUCCCAAUUCGUACCAACGCAAAGGAGUUCUACACCUUCUACCAUAAAGAGCCUCAAAAGGUGUCAUUCCAAUACUCGAAUGGAAACUGUUGUUAUACGUAAACUCGAUCAAAGGCAAGAACUAUCCCAAUUUCCCCCUUGUUCCAAAACACAAGACCUCAAAAGAUCUUCAAGUGACUGAAUAGUCCUCUCCGUUUGACCAUCAGUUUACGGAUGAUACGCCGAACUCAAACGCAACUUCGUACCCAAAGCACUUUGCAAACCUUCCCAAAAUCUCGAAGUGAACCUCAGAUCUCUAUCCGAAACAAACCAUGCACAACACACAAUCCUUUAGAUGUACAACUUAGCAAGUCUCUCCAUCGAUAAAUCCAUCCUUAUUGGAAUAAAUGAGCACAUUUCGUCAACCUGUCCACAACGACCCAAAUCGCCUCACAAUUACUCCGAUUCUCGGCAAACCCGAAACAAAAUCCAUAGAGAUACUAUCCCACUUCCACUCGGGAAUAGAUAACGGUUGCAUCAAACCAGACGACUUUUGAUGUUCAAUCUUUGACUUUUGACAAGUCAAACAUGAAUACAUAAAUUUCGCUACAUCUUUCUUCAUACCUUGCCACCAAAACAUCUUCCUCAAGUCUUGAUACAUUUUAGUAUGUGACUAUGCUAGCCUGAUAAUAAUAUAAGUUUCUUUUUAUUAUCAAUAAUAUAUAUAAAAUAUUAUGUGACUAUGCUAGCCUGAUAAUAAUAUAAUUUUCUUUUUAUUAUCAUUAAUAUAUAUAAAAUAAAUAAAAAUAAAAAUUUACUUUUUUUUAAUCUUAUCCUUAUCAACGUCGACAAAUAUGUCAACUAAAAUAAAUAUCAAAAACAUAUCUAAACUAAAACCGUAAAGUGAUCGAAAAAUAUAAAAAUCGCAUGAAACCGAAUAUUAGAAAAAGUCUUUAUAUCAUUUUUCGAAAAUUGCUAAGUUUUGAUUUUGAUUUGGGAUUGAUUUUUUUUAAAUUGAACUAAAUUGCAAAUAUAUAUUUCAAUAUUUUAUAUUUUUAAUAUUAGCAUGACAUAUUAUAUUUUAUUAUUCAUUAGUAUUCAAAUUUCUCAAUACAAUUAUUUGUUUAAACUAUUUUAUAUGUUUGAAACAUAUUUGAACAGACAUAUAUAUUUUUAACUGUUUUUAUUGAUAAUGAAGUUUAUUGCUUCUCCAAUAACACAAAGUUCUUACACAAUGUAAGUUCUAAAUAUUAUUAAAAGUGCAUCUUUUAUUUUUCAACAAUCACAGAGAUACAACAUAAAUUAUGAUUAUAUAAAACAACAACACUGCUGAUAUCCAAGUCGAAAAACACAUUGUCCACCUUUUUGAUAUCCUAUUUUGAUGCACUUUGUAGAACAAUUUGGAAUACAUCCACCUAUGCAACAAACUCCUCGUACUUCGUCACUCCCAAGAAGACACAUUACACUUUUGUCUAAUGUAGCACUUU
rnacentral:lncRNA from 1 species